UUGGACAAUGGUAGGAGAGCGUUCUAAGGGCGUUGAAGCAUGAUCGCAAGGACAUGUGGAGCGCUUAGAAGUGAGAAUGCCGGUGUGAGUAGCGAAAGACGGGUGAGAAUCCCGUCCACCGAUUGACUAAGGUUUCCAGAGGAAGGCUCGUCCGCUCUGGGUUAGUCGGGUCCUAAGCUGAGGCCGACAGGCGUAGGCGAUGGAUAACAGGUUGAUAUUCCUGUACCACCAUUAUUCGUUUUAAGCGAUGGGGGGACGCAGUAGGAUAGGCGAAGCGUGCUGUUGGAGUGCACGUCCAAGCAGUGAGAUUGAGUGUUAGGCAAAUCCGGCACUCUUAAGAUUGAGCUGUGAUGGGGAGAGGAACUUGUUCCUCGAGUCGUUGAUUUCACACUGCCGAGAAAAGCCUCUAGCUAGAAUAACGGUGCCCGUACCGCAAACCGACACAGGUAGUCAAGAUGAGAAUUCUAAGGUGAGCGAGCGAACUCUCGUUAAGGAACUCGGCAAAAUGACCCCGUAACUUCGGGAGAAGGGGUGCUCUUUGAGGUUCACGCUUCGAAGAGCCGCAGUGAAUAGGCCCAAGCGACUGUUUAUCAAAAACACAGGUCUCUGCUAAACCGUAAGGUGACGUAUAGGGGCUGACGCCUGCCCGGUGCUGGAAGGUUAAGAGGAGUGGUUAGCGCAAGCGAAGCUACGAAUCGAAGCCCCAGUAAACGGCGGCCGUAACUAUAACGGUCCUAAGGUAGCGAAAUUCCUUGUCGGGUAAGUUCCGACCCGCACGAAAGGCGUAACGAUUUGGGCACUGUCUCAACGAGAGACUCGGUGAAAUCAUAGUACCGGUGAAGAUGCCGGUUACCCGCGACAGGACGGAAAGACCCCGUGGAGCUUUACUGUAGCCUGAUAUUGAAAUUCGGUACAGUUUGUACAGGAUAGGUAGGAGCCUUAGAAGCGUGAGCGCUAGCUUACGUGGAGGCAUUGGUGGGAUACUACCCUAAUUGUAUUGGAUUUCUAACCCGCAGCACUUAUCGUGCUGGGAGACAGUGUCAGGCGGGCAGUUUGACUGGGGCGGUCGCCUCCUAAAGAGUAACGGAGGCGCUCAAAGGUUCCCUCAGAAUGGUUGGAAAUCAUUCAUAGAGUGUAAAGGCAUAAGGGAGCUUGACUGCGAGACCUACAAGUCGAGCAGGGUCGAAAGACGGACUUAGUGAUCCGGUGGUUCCGCAUGGAAGGGCCAUCGCUCAACGGAUAAAAGCUACCCCGGGGAUAACAGGCUUAUCUCCCCCAAGAGUUCACAUCGACGGGGAGGUUUGGCACCUCGAUGUCGGCUCAUCGCAUCCUGGGGCUGUAGUCGGUCCCAAGGGUUGGGCUGUUCGCCCAUUAAAGCGGUACGCGAGCUGGGUUCAGAACGUCGUGAGACAGUUCGGUCCCUAUCCGUCGUGGGCGUAGGAAAUUUGAGAGGAGCUGUCCUUAGUACGAGAGGACCGGGAUGGACAUACCUCUGGUGUACCAGUUGUCGUGCCAACGGCAUAGCUGGGUAGCUAUGUAUGGACGGGAUAAGUGCUGAAAGCAUCUAAGCAUGAAGCCCCCCUCGAGAUGAGAUUUCCCAACUUCGGUUAUAAGAUCCCUCAAAGAUGAUGAGGUGAAUAGGUUCGAGGUGGAAGCGUAG
rnacentral:rRNA from 1 species